rnacentral:rRNA from 1 species
UACGCUGGCGGCACGCCUAACACAUGCAAGUCGAACGCAGUAGCAAUACUGAGUGGCAAACGGGUGAGUAUAAUGUGGGAAUCUGCCUUUUGGUUUGGAAUAACACGGGGAAACUUGUGCUAAUACCGAAUAAGCCCUUACGGGGAAAGUUUUAACGCCGAAAGAUGAGCCCGCACUUGAUUAGCUAGUUGGUAAGGUAAAAGCUUACCAAGGCAACGAUCAAUAGCUGUUCUUAGAGGAAGACCAGCCACAUUGGGACUGAGACACGGCCCAGACUCCUACGGGAGGCAGCAGUGGGGAAUCUUGCACAAUGGGGGAAACCCUGAUGCAGCGAUGCCGCGUGAGUGAAGAAGGCCCUUGGGUUGUAAAACUCUUUCGUCGGGGAAGAAAAUGACUGUACCCGAAUAAGAAGG